ACCAAGAGGAACGUGGGCUCUGGGUACGGUGGGAUCCCUGCGUAAAGUAUUUAGUACUCCGCAAAUAAAGUUAUAUGAAAAUGUCCUCCAAACUAAAGUCUGUAAUGGUCAUCGGUGGCAUCGUUGCAAUAACAUUUUCUGCUUUGUUUCCCAUCGUGGUUUAUCCUAAGUUACAUCCAGAGAUUUACACGAACAUACAAAAAGAAACAAGGAAGUCAAUCAAGCAAGAAGACAUUCAACCUGGAAAUAUGAAAGUUUGGUCAGAUCCAUUUAAGAAUUCAAAAUAAACUGUCAAGUUCAGCUCAAAAGUAAAAUGUAAAAAGAGUAAUCAUGAAAAGUUAGGCCUUUUGUUUUACCAAUUACCAGUUAGGUUGUGAGAUGAUAAUAGUUGCUAGAAUAUGCCUUUCAAAACUCUGGAAAUCGAAUUUUCGAGGGUCAAACAAGACGUGCUUUUGCUGUAGCUGCACCCCACCAUAGUUAAUGCAAAUAGAGAACCCCACUUAUG